GACGAACCGUGCAAACGUUAUUCGGAAUCACUGGGCUUAAAGGGCGCGUAGGCGGGCAACCAAGUCCGAGGUGAAAUCCUCCAGCUUAACUGGAGAAGUGCCCCGGAUACUGGUGGCCUCGAGGAGGGUAGGGGCAUCUGGAACUAGCGGUGGAGCGGUGAAAUGCGUUGAUAUCGCUAGGAACUCCGGUGGCGAAGGCGAGGUGCUGGACCAUUUCUGACGCUGAGGCGCGAAAGCCAGGGGAGCGAACGGG
rnacentral:rRNA from 1 species